rnacentral:lncRNA from 10 species
CUCUGGCGGCGGCCGGAGGCCAAGUGUGGCUAAAGGUUACUGCCCCGCGGCUGGGCUGCCUCGGGGCCUGCUCCCGCGCGGCUGGCGGCUUGUACUCCGGUCCUAACACCUGACCGCCUAAAGGCACCGGCCCAGCCCCUCCUCUCUUUCCCGACUGCACUGCACAAGUGCCGCCUCCUCUCUAGAUCCGAGCGCCUCCAGCCUCCCGGUGCAUCAGAGUCACCUGGGAACUCCUGCACCGGAGGAUUCCUGGGCUCCGAAAUCAGAAUCCUAGAGAUUCAGAUUCAGUGUGUCUGGGAGGAGCCAAGGAAUAUGCUUGCUUAAGAGGUGUUUGUGGCAAUCCUCUGGCAUGGCGUCAACAGCCAUCCUCUGCUUUUUCCCACUCAUGUCCUUAUUUCAAAAGACUGCCCCAAUCCAAAAAUGAAAUUAAAGAAACAAUUCUAUUUACAACAACAUCUGAAGGGAUAAAAGAAACAUGUUUAACCAAGGAAGUGUGAGACUGGUAGAUGGAAAACCACAGAACAGUAUUGAAGGAAAUUAAAGAAGACCUAAACAAAUGGAAUGGUCCAUGCAUGGUUCAUGGAUUGGAAGAUGUAAUAUUGUUAAUAUAGCUCAUAUGGUUUGGAUCUGUGUCCAACCAAAUCUCAUGUCUAGUUGUAAUCCUCAGUGUUGGAGGUGGCGCCUGGUAAGAAAUGAUUGGAUCAUAGGGGCAGAGUUCUCAUAAAUGGGUUAGCACCAUCCCCGCUUGGUACCCUACAGUGAGUUCUCAGGAGAUCCGGUUGUUUAGAAGUGUGCAUCACCACCCCCUCUCUCCUGCUCUGGCUAUGUGAAGCUCCUCACUCCCCCUUUGCCUUCCGCCAUGAAUGGAAGCCUCCUGAGGCCUCUCCAGAAGCAGAAGCCACUACGUCUUCUGUACAGCUUGUGGAACCAUAAUCCGAUUAAACCUCUUUUCUUUAUGAAUUACCCAGUCUCGUGUAUUUCUUUAUAGCAGCG